rnacentral:rRNA from 1 species
UACGUAGGCAGCAAGCGUUGUUCGGAGUUACUGUGCGUAAAGGGUGUGUAGGCGGUUGUUUAAGUUUGGUGUGAAAUCUCCCGGCUCAACUGGGAGGGUGCGCCGAAUACUGAAUGACUAGAGUGCGGGAGAGGAAAGUGGAAUUCCUGGUGUAGCGGUGAAAUGCGUAGAUAUCAGGAGGAACACCGGUGGUGUAGACGGCUUUCUGGACCGUAACUGACGCUGAAACACGAAAGCGUGGGUAGCAAACAGG